GCUGAAUUGUUCUGCACUGCACAACACACUCUCAUCAAAAGUUAGCUUAACUUGCAAUAUAAACGUGAUUCUUAACUAAAAAAACAAGUAUUUUGUGUACGUACAAGCACAAAACUACCACAUUUUACAUACAAGCACUCACUCUUUAAACAAGUCGUUAAUGUAGCGACGAGAAUCCAAUAUUUCGCACUGCACUUGCAGAAAUGUUAACUGUGAAGAAAUUUCUAUUUAAUAUUUGCCUAUUUACUUGUGUUUUUUUUCAUAUUCGCGAAUCCAAGAGGAGUGGAUUGGAUUGUUUUUUCUUGAGUGGAUAACACCACACUUUCACUAAAAUUUUUAUGGCGAUGAUGGCCGGAUAGGUUGAAGUGUGUGUGUGUCGCAAGGCAGGGGUACAUAAUUAACCUUCCCCUUCAACAUUGGUCAAUUUUUUUUGUUCUGAGGUGUGUGGUGUGUCAAAGAAGAGGUUUUUUGUCAUUGUUGCGCCAGAUGAGAGUGAACGGUUAUCGUUGAGCAAGAAGAAUUGUGCCGUAGAUGAAAUUGUGCAGCAAUAUUUCGCGAUAAGGAUAAAGAAAUCUAAGCCCCAAAAAUGUCGCGACUGCUGGAUCCCCACCAAACCUUAAGUGACAUGGAUCAUCCCUUAAUACGGGCAAAAAUCCUUCCAAAAUUGGCCCACGUGUUCCUCUCCACGUGGACAUUUCUUGUCACUUCGAUCACAUCGUUUCCCAUCGUGGAAAUUUAUUUCUCCAUCCAGCUAAUCACAGCCCUCUUGACGAUCCGAUUCAUGGAGUGUGACCUCUUCAAAGUCAUUCUCAACACGAAGCAGACGCUCCGAUCGGUUCUCUCUUAACGCGAAAAAUAACGAUGUUUUUUUACAAUUUUAUACUAAAAUUUUAGUCAGACGGUUAUAGAAAUAUAGAAAUAAACUGAUUUUAUACACCUUAUACACAGAGAAAUUUAUGCUUGUAAUCUACAUAAAAAACAGUCAUUGGUAACUUUGUAAAAUUCGUAAACUUUUACAAAAUUUUGCAAGUAAUUCUGAGAAAAAUUGCGUACAAAUUUUUGUGAACUUACUCAGAUCAAGGGUGUCUUUUUAUUUUGUAAAUUUGCCGAUUUUACAAGGUUAAUAAGUCCUGCAUGAAUUGAAUUCACGCAAUAAUUGGUAAUUUGCAAAAUAAUUUUACAAACUCUUAAUAAAGACAAACUCUCCCAAAAUAAAGAGACGCCCUUGAUCUCAACAAGUCUAAAAAAAUGAGUUAAUUUUCCUAAGAAAUAUGUAUAGAAUUUUGUAAAAGUCCGUAAGUUCAGAGAAUUUAUGGAUUUUGUAAUGUUACCAAGGUCUACGUGAAUUGAAAAUUAUUUUAAGAAAUUAAAUCUAUGAAAGUGCAUGAAAAUGCAAAGGGUCAAAAUGGGACCAAAUUUUGUCAGUGGACCCGUAUUUUGCAAGUUUCUUAAAUUUUUACUAUUUCAAAUAUUCAGAAGAGUCACUUAGAUUCUAAUUUUAGUUUAAAUCCUUCAUAUUUUUUUCUAUAAAUUAAAAAUCGCUAGAGAUGAAAAAAUUCAUAAUUUUUAAUUGUUAGUCAUUAACGUCGUAAAACCAAUUUAGGAUUAUUAACUAGCUAAUUAGUAUACAUAAAAAGAUGGACGUUUUGAUGUGGUUGUUGGAGUUUGAACCACAGAUAUGGAGAGACAUAGAUGGAGGAACUAUUGAAAAAAGCGUCUCAGCAUGGAGAAAGAUUUGGGUAUAAUUUGGGUAUAAUUAGGGUAUAACGCAUGUGGACUUUUUUGUCACUUUACCCCACUUUCUCAGUUUGCAGAAGCUGGAGCAGUAUUUAGUUUCAUUGAAAAAUGUUGCCAAGUUUUUAAUAUUGGAGUGAUUUGAGAUCGGGGAUCUAUGUCUCUCCAUAUCUGUGGUUUGAACUUAUGUUAAAGUAGUCACAUAAUUUUUAAGGUUUUUGAUAAAUGUAAAGUUUACUAAUGAUUCUGUAAAAUAAAUCAGUUCUGCCAUAUUAAAAA